CCAGUUGGAACUGGGAAACAGAAGAGGACAGAAGAGAAAAGAAAAGAUGAUGAAAAGAAGGGUGCUUUGGUUCGCCUUCGGUUUCUCAUCGUCUGCAGCUGCAAUGAAAAUUUUUAUCUCCAACGAUCUCGAGACCGAUCGCAAUAUUAUCUCUUCCCAGUUGAAGCAUAAAUUCGAUGCCCUCGACACCAGAGUCUCCAAGGUCGAAGCAGUCCUCGCUAACAGUCCCAAUUCCCACCAGGACGAGGACGAUCUGAACUGAAAUCCUUAUCUUUGGCUUUAUGUGGCUGGUUUUCACCUUUUUGUUGCUUAGUUCCUCAAUAUGAGGAAUUUUUCAUUUGGAAAGUCAGAUUCUUAUUGGUAGACAUCUUAGAAUUGCUUUGCUAGUUGUUUUAGUGUUGUAUAUUUUUUGGUCCCAACAAAGCCACAUAGCUUUUACUUGCUACUUUUGGAGCUUCUUUAUAACCCUCCUUUGUUACCUAAUGUAAUGGUAAUUGAUCGUCACUCUUUGAACCUGUGGUAUGGGUGUUUGCAAUAAUAUUUUAACGGAUUUUUUUUCA